rnacentral:tRNA from 1 species
GGGGGUAUAGCUCAGUGGUAGAGCAUGUGCUUGGCCUCGACAAAGUCCUGGGUUCAAUCCCAAAUGCCUCCA